CCAAUUAAACUUGUUGCAAACUUGUUUUAGAUGGUGGAUACUGCUAUUUAAAACCUAUCUUCUGAGCAUGUGAUGAAGGAUAGAGAGUCUGCAAAAAAACCAACAGCAGCCUUUUACAAUUCCACUUAUUACAAUUGUGCAUUUUGCUGACAAAGUCACAGACAGUAAAAUUAAGGUGAUAACAAAUAUGUCACCACUGCCCCUUGCCCAGCAGAGAAUGGGAGAUGCCGUCCAUUGUAAAAGACCUCAAAUUUCAGAUAUGGAAAAUGUCAAAGAAGUGGAAAGAAGCUGGCAAACUCCAGAGACCAAGAGACUGUCCUGUCUGCAUGUUUGUACUAAACGACCAUCCGUCUGGAGCAACUCUGUGUUUUGGCAUUUCUUUUUCUCCAUAGAGAUAAGUGAUUUUUUUUUUUCUUUUACCUCACAAUCUCAGUGAAGGUUUUAGAAAAUACAGAUUUUGAGGCUUAUUCAUCUAAUUACAAACGAUCAGGAAAGGUUAUGAGAAGUACUUUUGGUUUUCUUUUCGCAUGCUAUUCAUAUUAUGGGAUGGAAAUGCACAGAGUAUGUAUUGUAAAAUAAUGUAUACAUCAGGAACAUGUAUUGAGUGCUAAUAGGUGUUGUAAUGCAUUAUCUCAGUAAAUCCUCACAAGGCCUAUGAGGUAGGUAUUAUUAUAGUUGUGAUAUUUUAUUAUUUUCAUGUAUUUUAAGUUUAUUUUGAGUGUAUUUUAUGAUUUACUUUUAUAAAGAGUUAUCAUUAUCAUUAUCAUGAUACCUGAGGAAAUACAGAGACGCAGGAGGUCUUCUAAAUUACCUCAGGUCACACAGCCAGCCUUUGCAUCCCGGCCAUCUGACUCCAAAGCCUGCACUCUUGCUUUUUUGUGCUGCAAACGUUAAGGGUUUUUCUAGCUCUAAAAUAAGAUUCUAUGUUGCUAACUCAUUUAAAUGCUAUUCUUUAUUUGGGUUUUAAAAUGUUUAGUGAAAAAACAUGUCAUAAUUUGGGGGAACAGCUGUAUACUUCAUUUCUCUUUUGUAGCCUGGAUAACGGAGCGCUCUUUAUAAGUAAAAUCACGCUCUUCAUUCUUCCCUUGGAAGAACUGGGUAAGUGGCUCUUUGCAAAGCAACGAAGUAAGAAA